rnacentral:rRNA from 1 species
UACAGAGGGUGCGAGCGUUGUCCGGAAUCACUGGGCGUAAAGGGCGCGUAGGCGGUCCGGUAAGCGCGUGGUGAAAGCUCGGGGCUCAACCCCGAGUCGGCCGUGCGAACUGUGGGACUGGAGCAGAGCAGAGGCAGGCGGAAUUCCGGGUGUAGCGGUGGAAUGCGUAGAGAUCCGGAAGAACACCGGUGGCGAAGGCGGCCUGCUGGGAUCUUGCUGACGCUGAGGCGCGACAGCGUGGGGAGCAAACAGG